ensembl:lncRNA
GUAAGAGAAGCAGCCACAGAACUGGCUCGUUAACACCCAUGGGAGUGACAGAGCCCUGUAGAAAUAGAGGCCAGGUGGUGUUGCUUAACUGCCAGAAGCUAGAAGGCCACAAUUACCUUAAUGACUGGCAAGGUCAUUGCAGCCAAAGGAGCUUGACUCCAGAGGAGUUGUGGAGACAGCUAAUAGAGAAUAGCCUCCCUAGGGGGAAAAUAGAUGGGCUGUCCACAAUGGUGCUUAUUAACAUCCAUUACCAUUUUUAAAAAAAGAGCUGGAGGCUGAGGGUAGUCACUGUUAUAAAAAAGUCAUGAUCCCUUGACUAGUUGCCAGGCCUAAAACAAUUUUCAGACCCAGAACUGAACAUAUGGAGGGGUUCCUAGGAGGAAGAAUCCUACCAAACCCAUGUCUGGUCCCUAAAUAAACUGGAUGGAUCCUGAAGAAUUACUAUAGACUACUGCAGACUUAACCAAGUAAUGGCCUUCAUCACAGCAGGCGUUCUAUGGUGGAACUCACUGUUAGAACAGAUUUAAUAAGGGCUCAGAUACGUGGUACAUCACUGAUUUGGCAAUACCUUAUUUUUUUUUUUUUUGGCAUUCUAAUUGGAAUAGAGGAUCAGAAACAAUUCACUUUCACUAAGAACAGUGACUUGAGUUUUGCCUUGGGGCUAUAUUAACUCUCCCAUUCUCAGUCAUAAUAUGAACCACUUCAAUAUCCCUCAGAACACUACAUAGGUCCAUUUUUAUUGACAACAUCAUGCUGAUUGGACAGAUAAGCAAAAGGUGGCUGGCAUGCCAAAGACCAUGGUAAGAUAGAGGCACUCCAGAGCAUGGGAGAUAAACACAAAGCUCCAGGAACCAGAUAUUUCAGUAAAGUGUUUAGAGGUCCAGUGGUCAGAGGAGUGCCAGGACAUCCCCUCCAAAAUGAAAGCCAAAUUGCUGCGUCUUGCAGCCUUAACCACAAAGAAGGAAGUAGGAACUUUCUAGGCCUCUUUUGCUUCUGGGAUCAACACAUUCUACAACUGGGAAUAACGCUCUGGCUCAUGUGCCAGGUGACAAGGAAGGGGGCCAGCUUUGAAUAGGGCUGAAAACAGAAAAGGGCUCUGUGACAGUUCCUGGCUUCACUGUAAGCAGCCCUGACUAACAUUUGGACCAUACGAUCCAGCAGAUCCUGGUGGAAUCCGUGAUGGGAAAAGAUGCAGUUGGAAUUUAUGGCAAGUCUACUGGAAGAAUCAUGACACAGACCCUUGGGAUUCUGAAGCACAGUCAUGCCAUCUGCAGCAGAUAAUUGCUGCCCAUUGAGAAACAGCUCUUGGCCUAUCACUGUGCCCUGUAGAGACUGAUCAUUUGACCACUGGACAGUAAACCUAUCCAUUCCCUCAGACCCUUUUCAGCUGAGUGACCGGAUUUGCUAACUCCCACCAUUCCGGCUGUAUUUGUUGACAUUCUAAUAAACAGUGCUUCCCUUCUCCGUCACUCAUUUAUUUAUAACAGAUGGAUUCAUGAAUUCUUAGUUAACAGAUUAAAAUCCAUUGCCAUCAUUAUUUAUUUUGAUGUUCUCAUUGUCCUAGAUUUGAUCAAUGGGAGUGCCAGUCCUUUGUGAGUCAGGAGCCCCAGAUGUGUCGUGUCUUCCUCAUUCUUUGAGCCCUUUCUUACUUUUUGGUGUAACCAGAUGCUCCCAACUCAACUUGUACUUUCCCUGCUGCAGCUCUUGAGUCAACCAUUUCUUCAAGGAUCUCUGCUUUCUUUUCAUGGAGAAUGGUAUCCAAGGACCAUGAUCUGAGUUGUGGGUUUGCUCAUUUCUCCUGUUGUGUCAUUGCUUAUAGUUCCUCUCAGCACAGAUAUACAUACAAAUGUCUGUAUUUAUCGCUAUACCAGUUUAUACAGAUACCUUCAAUUGCAGUCUAUCACUACUUUUUAGUUUUUCCCUUUUUCAUAUUUGUAACUCCUUCAGAAAGAAGCCUGGCUUCUGUUCUCAGUGUAUCCUGUAGCUCAAGGCUAGAAUACAUGAAAGGUAGUUUUGAAAUUGCUAACUCAUACUGCUGUGAAAAGAAAAAAAAAACUUAACCAGAUUUUUAGAUAACCUGUCUGUUUUCAACCAGCCUUUCAGCUUGGCAACUGGAAAAACCAUCUUUUAAGUAAGGUUAAUAAAUUCAAACUUAAGCCCCAAAUAAGCAUGUCUAGGCCACAAAUACU